rnacentral:rRNA from 1 species
CCCUUAGAGUUUGAUCCUGGCUCAGAUUGAACGCUGGCGGCAUGCUUUACACAUGCAAGUCGAGCGGGGUGGAGGGGCAACUCUUCAUUCAGCGGCGGACGGGUGAGUAACACAUCGGAACGUAUCCUCUAGUGGGGGACAACCCAGCGAAAGCUGGGCUAAUACCGCAUAUGCUCUGAGGAGGAAAGCAGGGGACCUGAGAGGGCCUUGUGCUGGAGGAGCGGCCGAUGUCCGAUCAGCUAGUUGGUGGGGUAAAGGCCUACCAAGGCGACGAUCGGUAGCUGGUCUGAGAGGAUGAUCAGCCACACUGGGACUGAGACACGGCCCAGACUCCUACGGGAGGCAGCAGUGGGGAAUUUUGGACAAUGGGGGCAACCCUGAUCCAGCCAUGCCGCGUGCGGGAAGAAGGCCUUCGGGUUGUAAACCGCUUUUGGUCGGGAAGAAAGGGCCCUGGAUAAUACCCAGGGUUGUUGACGGUACCGGCAGAAUAAGCACCGGCUAACUACGUGCCAGCAGCCGCGGUAAUACGUAGGGUGCGAGCGUUAAUCGGAAUUACUGAGCGUAAAGCGUGCGCAGGCGGUUGGUUAAGUCUGAUGUGAAAGCCCCGGGCUCAACCUGGGAAUGGCAUUGGAAACUGGCUGGCUAGAGUGUGGCAGAGGGGGGUGGAAUUCCGCGUGUAGCAGUGAAAUGCGUAGAGAUGCGGAGGAACACCGAUGG